CAAUAGCGUAUAUUAAAGUUGUUGCAGUUAAAAAGCUCGUAGUUGAAUUUCUGGUGGGCGCGCCGGUCUUCCAAGUGUUGUACUGGGCGCAGUCCGCCAUCCUUGUGGAGAGGGCUCGCAUUGAGUUGCGUGUCGGAUCUGCAUCAUUUACUGUGAAAAAAUUAGAGUGUUUAAAGCAGGCUGUCGCUUGAAUACAUUAGCAUGGAAUAAUAAGAUAGGACUUGGGUCUAUUUUGUUGGUUGCGAACCGAGGUAAUGAUUAAUAGGGAUAGUUGGGGGUAUUCAUAUUUAAUUGUCAGAGGUGAAAUUCUUGGAUUUAUGAAAGAUGAACAACUGCGAAAGCAUUUACCAAGGAUGUUUUCAUUA
rnacentral:rRNA from 1 species